rnacentral:rRNA from 1 species
GACGAACGCUGGCGGCGUGCUUAACACAUGCAAGUGGAGCGACGAACCGGGCUCCGGCCCGGGGCAGAGCCGCGAACGGGUGAGUAACACGUGGGUUACCUGCCCCGAUGACUGGGACAACCCGGGGAAACCCGGGCUAAUACCGGAUGUGCCCUUCGGGGGAAAGGAAGCUACGGCCUCCCCAUCGGGAUGGGCCCGCGGCCCAUUAGCUUGUUGGUGGGGUAAUGGCCCACCAAGGCUGCGAUGGGUAGCUGAUCUGAGAGGACGAUCAGCCACACUGGGACUGAGACACGGCCAGACUCCUACGGGAGGCAGCAGUGGGGAAUCCUGCGCAAUGCGCGAAAGCGUGACGCAGCAACGCCGCGUGGGGGAAGACGGCCUUCGGGUUGUAAACCCCUUUCAGUUGGGACGAAGCUCCGCCGGUGAACAGCCGGCCGGAGUGACGGUACCUUCAGAAGAAGCCCCGGCUAACUACGUGCCAGCCGCCGCAGUAACAC